GGGGCAAAUAUUUACCAGGCAACAGUUGCUAAGUAAGGAGGAAGGAGGAGGAAAGCCAGUAGCUAGAGGGCUUUCCAGGCUCCUCCCAUCCUCACAAAAGAGAGGGUGAGCCACACUGUUCUCCUCAGCCCUCCACCCCCACCACACAGGCGUGGCCACAUCCCUUCAAGCACACAUAUCCUGGAAUCACCCCUACCAAUGUCCACCCCCCCGCCCCCACCAAACCCCAAGCUGGUAAGAGGACAGAGGGCUGGGCUAGGGGCAAGUUCAUCCCGGGGCUGCCAGGCCUUCUGCCUACCCUAGGACAUCUCUGCCACUCAAACCUUGUGAAAUUCCCCUUCCCAAUCUGUUGUUCAGUGGAGGCUGGAGAGAAGGAUGGUCCAAGCAGUCAGGAUACAGUGAGGCAAAGGAUGCUGAAGGAUGGAGUCAAGAUGUCCAGGGGGUGCAGGCUGCAAGAGAGGAUGCGGAGGCGGAAAGGCGGGGAAGAAGUGACUCCAUUAGAGGCUAUGCAAGGGCAGGCAACUGGGGGCUGCUAGACCCAGAGAAGAGGGAUUCUCAGGAGUCCCUCCUGUCCUGGCCCCUGGGCAGAGGAGGGGGAGGGCAGAGGAGGCGAGGGUGUGCUCAAAUGGAGCCAGAUGUGGCCCAUGUGAUGUGGGCUGUCGCUGGCAUGGGCACAGUGGGGGGCUGGGCAUACAACUGCUGCCAGAAAGAAUUAGUCAGAAGCUGGGAGGGGACAGGGGAGGACCGCUAGCCCAGGACCCUCAGGGGAGCAGAUGGGAGCUCUGGGGAAGGGUGGGAGGGCUCACAGCCUGCAAGAAGGGGUUGAGAUGACCUCCCAACCCUCCUCGAAGUUCCCAUCCAUUGCCCUGGCUGAGCCCCGAUUUCCUUAUGCAGAAGAGACGUCCUGACACCACUCCCCAGGACAGAAGACAUGCCACGGGCCCGGCUCAUGGCCUGACACGUAACAGGGGCUCUCUUCUUUUUACCCACCUUCUCAGGGUGAGGUCUCUGCUCUGCAGGGCUUCUCUUUGGGGGUCAGUGGGUUCAGACCCUCUGGAAAUUGGGGCACAGGAAGGGGAGGGAAGGGCACCAAGAGGGUGCUUCUCUGAUCUCCGAGACUGGGGGGAGGGAAGGGAGGAAGGGGGAUGGCUUGCCGCUUGGGGAAGAGGGGACCCCGUCUUUUGCCAGGGGGUCCCACCCUCCAACCCGGCACCCCAUCCCGGCCCCCCACCCCCUCCCCCCAGCGCGCAGAGCCGUGUUCUCCACGCAUCGCCGCUGCGGGCUUUGUCUGCUCUGCGGAGAACCUCUGCCCGCGGCCCGGAGCCGGGAUCGACUCUGGGAGAACGGGAGGGGGGAGCGGAGAGCGGAGAGGGAGCGCGGCAGGGAGGGGGAAGAGGAGAGAGAAAGCCAGAGAAAGCCGCAGUGGCCCAGCCGGGACAGCUCCCCGCCCUCUCCCCCCGCCUCAUUACCAUAAGAAAGAGGGACCUAAGACUGGCCGGGAUCGCGAAGGAGCCCGUUUUGGGAGGGGGGCACACUCCAUUAGCCUGUUUUCAACCCGUUCCGUUUCUGUACACUGACUCCUUUCCUCUUUAAAAAUGAGGGACCUCGACUGCCUUCCCACCCCCGGCUUCGCCUCCCAGCAGAGCGUAAAGACCGAAGGCACAUCCCUGUCUUCCUCGGGUCAAGGAAUUCGUCCCCGCGCCCCCGAGGGCGGGAACUACAACUCCCGGCAUGCCCCGGGCGCCCCCGGCGCGCCCCCCUCCCGUCAGUUCCAUGCUGCUCCAUCCAGUUCAUUUAAAACAAAAGAGUUUGAGCGCUGGAAGGGGCUGGGCUCUAUUGGGGGCCACUGAGCGCCGCUCCUGGACUGGGGCUCGGUGCGGGAGCCUAAGGGGGGCGUCUGGACGGUGGGGUCUAGAGACUCCCGGGACCGAGGCGGGAGGGGUGGGGGCAGAGAUCCCGCAGCCCCCC
ensembl:lncRNA